UUAAGCGACUAAGCGUACACGGUGGAUGCCCUGGCAGUCAGAGGCGAUGAAGGACGUGCUAAUCUGCGAAAAGCGUCGGUAAGGUGAUAUGAACCGUUAUAACCGGCGAUGUCCGAAUGGGGAAACCCAGUGCAAUUCGUUGCACUAUCGUUAACUGAAUACAUAGGUUAACGAGGCGAACCGGGGGAACUGAAACAUCUAAGUACCCCGAGGAAAAGAAAUCAACCGAGAUUCCCCCAGUAGCGGCGAGCGAACGGGGAGCAGCCCAGAGUCUGAAUCAGCUUGUGUGUUAGUGGAACGGUCUGGAAAGUCCGACGGUACAGGGUGAUAGUCCCGUACACCAAAAUGCACAGGCUGUGAACUCGAAGAGUAGGGCGGGACACGUGGUAUCCUGUCUGAAUAUGGGGGGACCAUCCUCCAAGGCUAAAUACUCCUGACUGACCGAUAGUGAACCAGUACCGUGAGGGAAAGGCGAAAAGAACCCCGGCGAGGGGAGUGAAAAAGAACCUGAAACCGUGUACGUACAAGCAGUGGGAGCACCUUCGGGUGUGACUGCGUACCUUUUGUAUAAUGGGUCAGCGACUUAUAUUCUGUAGCAAGGUUAACCGUAUAGGGGAGCCGCAGGGAAACCGAGUCUUAACUGGGCGUUAAGUUGCAGGGUAUAGACCCGAAACCCGGUGAUCUAGCCAUGGGCAGGUUGAAGGUUGGGUAACACUAACUGGAGGACCGAACCGACUAAUGUUGAAAAAUUAGCGGAUGACUUGUGGCUGGGGGUGAAAGGCCAAUCAAACCGGGAGAUAGCUGGUUCUCCCCGAAAGCUAUUUAGGUAGCGCCUCGUGAAUUCAUCUUCGGGGGUAGAGCACUGUUUCGGCUAGGGGGUCAUCCCGACUUACCAACCCGAUGCAAACUACGAAUACCGAAGAAUGUUAUCACGGGAGACACACGGCGGGUGCUAACGUCCGUCGUGAAGAGGGAAACAACCCAGACCGCCAGCUAAGGUCCCAAAGUCAUGGUUAAGUGGGAAACGAUGUGGGAAGGCACAGACAGCCAGGAUGUUGGCUUAGAAGCAGCCAUCAUUUAAAGAAAGCGUAAUAGCUCACUGGUCGAGUCGGCCUGCGCGGAAGAUGUAACGGGGCUAAACCAUGCACCGAAGCUGCGGCAGCGACACUAUGUGUUGUUGGGUAGGGGAGCGUUCUGUAAGCCUGCGAAGGUGGCCUGUGAGGGUUGCUGGAGGUAUCAGAAGUGCGAAUGCUGACAUAAGUAACGAUAAAGCGGGUGAAAAGCCCGCUCGCCGGAAGACCAAGGGUUCCUGUCCAACGUUAAUCGGGGCAGGGUGAGUCGACCCCUAAGGCGAGGCCGAAAGGCGUAGUCGAUGGGAAACAGGUUAAUAUUCCUGUACUUGGUGUUACUGCGAAGGGGGGACGGAGAAGGCUAUGUUAGCCGGGCGACGGUUGUCCCGGUUUAAGCAUGUAGGCUGAUUGUCCAGGCAAAUCCGGAUAAUCAAGGCUGAGGUGUGAUGACGAGGCACUACGGUGCUGAAGUAACAAAUGCCCUGCUUCCAGGAAAAGCCUCUAAGCAUCAGGUAACAUCAAAUCGUACCCCAAACCGACACAGGUGGUCAGGUAGAGAAUACCAAGGCGCUUGAGAGAACUCGGGUGAAGGAACUAGGCAAAAUGGUGCCGUAACUUCGGGAGAAGGCACGCUGGUGUGUAGGUGAAGCCCCUGCGGGUGGAGCUGAGACCAGUCGAAGAUACCAGCUGGCUGCAACUGUUUAUUAAAAACACAGCACUGUGCAAACACGAAAGUGGACGUAUACGGUGUGACGCCUGCCCGGUGCCGGAAGGUUAAUUGAUGGGGUUAUCCGUAAGGAGAAGCUCUUGAUCGAAGCCCCGGUAAACGGCGGCCGUAACUAUAACGGUCCUAAGGUAGCGAAAUUCCUUGUCGGGUAAGUUCCGACCUGCACGAAUGGCGUAAUGAUGGCCAGGCUGUCUCCACCCGAGACUCAGUGAAAUUGAACUCGCUGUGAAGAUGCAGUGUACCCGCGGCAAGACGGAAAGACCCCGUGAACCUUUACUAUAGCUUGACACUGAACAUUGAGCCUUGAUGUGUAGGAUAGGUGGGAGGCUUUGAAGCGUGGACGCCAGUCUGCGUGGAGCCAACCUUGAAAUACCACCCUUUAAUGUUUGAUGUUCUAACGUUGGCCCCUGACCGGGGUUGCGGACAGUGUCUGGUGGGUAGUUUGACUGGGGCGGUCUCCUCCCAAAGCGUAACGGAGGAGCACGAAGGUUAGCUAAUCCUGGUCGGACAUCAGGAGGUUAGUGCAAUGGCAUAAGCUAGCUUGACUGCGAGCGUGACGGCGCGAGCAGGUGCGAAAGCAGGUCAUAGUGAUCCGGUGGUUCUGAAUGGAAGGGCCAUCGCUCAACGGAUAAAAGGUACUCCGGGGAUAACAGGCUGAUACCGCCCAAGAGUUCAUAUCGACGGCGGUGUUUGGCACCUCGAUGUCGGCUCAUCACAUCCUGGGGCUGAAGUAGGUCCCAAGGGUAUGGCUGUUCGCCAUUUAAAGUGGUACGCGAGCUGGGUUUAGAACGUCGUGAGACAGUUCGGUCCCUAUCUGCCGUGGGCGCUGGAGAAUUGAGGGGGGCUGCUCCUAGUACGAGAGGACCGGAGUGGACGCAUCACUGGUGUUCGGGUUGUCAUGCCAAUGGCACUGCCCGGUAGCUAAAUGCGGAAGAGAUAAGUGCUGAAAGCAUCUAAGCACGAAACUUGCCCCGAGAUGAGUUCUCCCUGAGACUAUAAGUCUCCUGAAGGAACGUUAAAGACGAUGACGUUGAUAGGCCGGGUGUGUAAGCGCAGCGAUGCGUUGAGCUAACCGGUACUAAUGAACCGUGAGGCUUAACCUU
rnacentral:rRNA from 1 species